AGAAACCUGAAAACUAUCGUUGGAUAAAAAAUGGACGUCUGAUAUUUGUCCAUAUCACGAAGAGUAAAAUUUUUACUCAUGGUUGAAUCUAUGAGUAAAAUUUUUACUCUAGGUGAUGUGGACAAAUCUCAUAUGUACAUUCUUUUUUUACGGUAGAUUAUAAGUUUCC
rnacentral:pre_miRNA from 1 species